rnacentral:rRNA from 1 species
UACGUAGGGUGCGAGCGUUGUCCGGAAUUAUUGGGCGUAAAGAGCUCGUAGGCGGUCUGUCGCGUCGAUCGUGAAAACUUGGGGCUUAACUCUGAGCUUGCGGUCGAUACGGGCAUCACUGGAGUUCGGCAGGGGAGACUGGAAUUCCUGGUGUAGCGGUGAAAUGCGCAGAUAUCAGGAGGAACACCGGUGGCGAAGGCGGGUCUCUGGGCCGAUACUGACGCUGAGGAGCGAAAGCGUGGGGAGCGAACAGG